rnacentral:rRNA from 1 species
UGCAGCCAUGCCGCGUGUGUGAAGAAGGCCUUCGGGUUGUAAAGCACUUUCAGUUGUGAGGAAAAGUUAGUAGUUAAUACCUGCUAGCCGUGACGUUAACAACAGAAGAAGCACCGGCUAACUCCGUGCCAGCAGCCGCGGUAAUACGGAGGGUGCGAGCGUUAAUCGGAAUUACUGGGCGUAAAGCGCACGCAGGCGGUUUGUUAAGCUAGAUGUGAAAGCCCCGGGCUCAACCUGGGAUGGUCAUUUAGAACUGGCAGACUAGAGUCUUGGAGAGGGGAGUGGAAUUCCAGGUGUAGCGGUGAAAUGCGUAGAUAUCUGGAGGAACAUCAGUGGCGAAGGCGACUCCCUGGCCAAAGACUGACGCUCAUGUGCGAAAGUGUGGGUAGCGAACAGGAUUAGAUACCCUGGUAGUCCACACCGUAAACGCUGUCUACUAGCUGUGUGUGCCUUUAAGGCGUGCGUAGCGAAGCUAACGCGCUAAGUAGACC